UACAGGGGGUGCAAACGUUGCUCGGAAUCAUUGGGCGUAAAGCGCACGUAGGCGGUCUGUUAUGUCGGAUGUGAAAGCCCUCGGCUCAACUGAGGAAGUGCACCCGAAACUGAGUGGCUAGAGUACGAAAGAGGGUCGCGGAAUUCCCGGUGUAGAGGUGAAAUUCGUAGAUAUCGGGAGGAACACCGGUGGCGAAGGCGGCGACCUGGGUCGAUACUGACGCUGAUGCGCGAAAGCGUGGGGAGCAAACAGG
rnacentral:rRNA from 1 species